UAGUGAUAAAGUGAGUCUGAGGACGAAGUGAGUUCUGAUCGUUCACGCUCGUUUCCUUUUCCGCAAAGAUCGUGACGUCAAGUACACAAAUUGGUGCCGCAAUGUGACUUACGAGUGAACCAAUUGUUAAAUAGAUUAGGAUAUGUUUUAGCUUCGGAAUUUUCUUUUCGACGAACAGCACAUAUAUAGCUAUUCCCGUUUCUAUAAUUAAUUUAUAUAUUUUUCUCCGUAUAAAUAUAUAAUAACAAGACGAUUUAUAUGAAAAAUAAGGAGACUUUUAUCGGUCCAGAAUUGUAUUUCAUGUAUCCAGCCUGAAGGAACUUCGUGCAAUUAUAGUCGAUGAGUCCGAGACUAGUGACGCUGGAAGGACAUAAAGGAAGAGCGAAAGAUGCCGGGCACUCUGACAUAUCCGAUUUAUGCUGGCGUCGAUCCAGUUCCGCCCAGAAGACGCGCCUACACAUGGACCGCACAACAUCGUUCCGCAUCACGUGUGGCAGAAGUCAAUGCGCAAUUCGGUCGGGUAUCGGAAACUGCUAGAGACGAAACGAGCAAGUUGAGGUUAAAAGUAAUUGCUGGGCAUCAUCUAGCUAAGAAAGAUAUUUUUGGUGCAAGCGAUCCCUAUGUACGCGUGGACUUGAACACAAUAAAUGGCGAUCAGACAGUGGAUUCUGCACUUACAAGAACCAAGAAGAAGACAUUGAAUCCUGUCUGGGAAGAAGAAUUUAUAUUUAGGGUAAAACCAGUAGAACACAAAUUGGUCUUACAAGUUUUUGAUGAAAACAGAUUGACAAGGGAUGAUUUUCUUGGUAUGGUUGAGUUAACAUUGAUUAAUUUACCAAAGGAACAAGAAGGUCGCUCUAUUCCUGCUAGGAAUUAUGUACUUCGCCCUCGUAGUAAUCAUUCCAGUCAGCGGUCACGAGUUAAGGGAACAUUGGAACUGUAUCAUGCAUACAUUUCCGAUUCAUCUAGUAUUGAAAAUGACAAUGGAGACGUAUCUGAUUCAGGCGGAUGGGAAUUAGUACAGCCAGAGAAUAACAGUCCAGUAGAACAAAGUGCAGAUAUUACCAUGGUUAAUAGGCCAUUACCACCGGGAUGGGAAGAAAGACAGGAUGCAAAUGGUCGGACAUACUAUGUUAAUCAUAUAGCGCGUUUCACACAAUGGGAACGACCAGAACCAGAUACAACAGCACCAAGUGGAAUUGUUGAACAACGUAAUUUGGAUACAGCAGCUACUGAGUUUCAACGACGGUUUCACAUUAGUGCUGAUGAUGAAGGUAGACACAGGAACUCGGUAGUAAAUCAAGAUGGUGAAGUUCUACGCGAGGACGAUGAAGAUUCGGAAGCAAGAGAUUGUGAGGGUGGGGAUCAUAGGGGAGGGGGUAUUGGGGAUACUUCUUCAGACUCCGGACGUUCUGUCGAUCAACGUGGCUACCUUAGUGAAUCUGAAGAACAGACUGAUGAUAAUAUCGAUAGUCCAGCUGGUUCGAGACGUUCAUCGGAGCAGAUUGAAAGUCCCAAACCUACUCUUCCCGUAUCUAAUGAUGAAGGAUUACCUCCUGGUUGGGGCAUGCAAGUAGCACCUAAUGGUAGAAUAUUUUUUAUUGAUCACAAUGAGAGGGCGACAACUUGGAUUGAUCCUAGAACGGGAAGACCGAGUUCUAUACCUAAUCAUACUGCACCAUCAACGACAUCGAGAGGUGAUUUAGAUCAAUUAGGACCGCUUCCAGAAGGAUGGGAGGAAAGAGUACACACUGAUGGACGAAUCUUUUUUAUAGAUCACAAUACAAGAACAACACAAUGGGAAGAUCCGCGUAUGUCUAAUCCUCAAAUUGCUGGCCCGGCUGUACCAUAUUCAAGAGACUAUAAGCGUAAAUAUGAGUAUCUGAAAUCACAACUGAGAAAGCCUAAUAAUGUUCCUAAUAAGUUUGAGAUAAAAGUUGGACGGAAUAAUAUUUUGGAAGAUUCGUACCGUAUUAUAAGCUCUGUUAACAGAGUUGAUAUUCUAAAAACGAAAUUAUGGGUAGAAUUUGAAGGAGAAGUAGGCUUAGAUUAUGGUGGCCUUGCAAGAGAAUGGUUCUUCUUAUUGUCUAAGGAAAUGUUUAAUCCAUACUAUGGACUUUUUGAGUAUUCUGCAACUGAUAACUAUACACUGCAAAUUAAUCCUUGUUCUGGUGUAUGUAACGAAGAGCAUUUGAAUUACUUUAAAUUUAUCGGACGUAUAGCAGGAAUGGCGGUUUAUCACGGUAAACUUUUGGAUGCUUUCUUUAUUCGACCAUUUUAUAAAAUGAUGUUGGGUAAAUCAAUUGAUCUGAAGGAUAUGGAGAGCGUCGAUUCUGAAUAUUACAACUCUCUUUUAUGGAUUAAAGAGAAUGAUCCUAGUGAAUUAGAACUCACUUUCAGUCUCGACGAAGAAAGCUUUGGUCAUACUUCCCAAAGAGACUUAAAGCCAGAUGGUGCUAAUAUUCCUUUGACCGAUGAAAAUAAAGACGAAUAUAUAAGUUUAGUUAUACAAUGGCGAUUUGUAUCUCGCGUGCAGGAACAAAUGAAUGCCUUCUUAGAAGGGUUCAACGCUCUUAUACCACCAACAUUGGUAAAAAUAUUCGAUGAACAUGAACUGGAAUUGUUAAUGUGUGGCAUACAGCAUAUUGAUGUGAAAGACUGGAAACAAAAUACUUUGUAUAAAGGAGACUAUCAUGCAAACCACAUUGUUGUGCAAUGGUUCUGGAGAGUCGUUUUGUCAUUUAGCAAUGAAAUGCGUUCUAGAUUAUUACAGUUUGUAACUGGCACAUCACGUGUUCCAAUGAAUGGAUUCAAAGAACUUUAUGGCAGUAAUGGACCGCAAUUAUUCACAAUUGAAAGGUGGGGUACACCAGAGAAUUAUCCAAGAGCUCAUACUUGUUUUAAUCGUAUUGACCUUCCUCCGUAUAAAAGUUAUCAACAACUCAGGGAUAAGCUAGUUAAAGCAAUUGAAGGUUCUCAAGGUUUUGCUGGAGUCGACUAGCACGAAAUACCUUUGUUCAUGAUGAUAUCUGUAAUAUAAUGUAUAUAUUACAUAUACCUAUAUAGAGUCUUUUUGAUUAUCAAAUGAUACAAGGUAGCAUUAUAUAUAUAUAUAGAAAUUGUAUUGUUCAAGAACGCAUACUCCUAUAAUGUACAGACGAAUAUAAACAGUUUUAUAAACAAUUAGUAUAUUAUUAGAAGAAAAGGCAAGAAACGAUAGAAACCAAAGCUAAUAAAGUAACAUUUUUAUUUCAAAAUUUUCAUUUUGUUUUGUGCUAAAUAGUACAAAAUGAAAUUAUGUAGUUUAGAAUAAGUUAUUGGAAGAAAAUUCAUAUUUUAUUGUAUUAACAUACAAAAUAAGAUACGCAGAAUUUUAAUCAUAUUGAUAAACUUAUUUUUAAAAAUAUAUAUUGACGAACUAACAAAAUUAAAUUAAUUGGUUGCAGGUUAUCAUUAAUUUUACCUUGCUUGUUCUUCUGAGUUAAUGACUUAAGGAUAUAUGUUGUACUCAGGAAAUAUAAUUGUAUACAGUACAUUAAAUGAAGGAACAAAUUCAUUACAACAUUGUUUUCCAGAAAUUUAAAUUAUUGUGUAUAUUUUCUCAUUAUUCUGGUGCAGCGAAACUCAAUAGUCUCGAAAAAUAAUUUAAGUAUUGCUUCUUGUUAAUAUCCUUAAUCGCAGAUGACGAAAUCAGUGUCAGAUACGAAUGCCUUGUAUUAUAACAUUUAUUCGCAGAAUUAACAUGCAUUCUGAAGGAUACGGAGUUAAUAUAACAUUCCAUCCUGUUUAUACAGCUUAUUUUAUUGUAAACAGGUACGUCCCGUUAGAUAAUAAAUAAUAUUGUCAUGACAGAAAUUUUGUGGCCUUAAAUUCUGGUUAUGAAAUUUCUUAUUUUAAUAAGUCUCUCGUUCGUAAAAUGUAGAUUUGUAAAUGAUAGUAAAGUGCGCUAAUUAUUCGCUGAUAAAUGAAUAUCCUUUGGAAUUGCUUCAUCUUCAUCUUCAUAUUAGAUUUGCAGAGCGAUAUACAUAAGCUUACAUUUAAUAAGUUAGUAUUUCCUAGCUUGGAGAUGACAAGCUGUAUCCAGCUGUAAUCUAAUAUGUUAUGAAGUGCGUAUAAUACCCUAGGUAACCUAAGUUCAUUAAUAGAACAAUAAAACAACCAGCGCACAGUCCAAUCUUCGCAUAUUAAAGUUUAGAUUGGAUAAGGAAGAAGAUUAUCACUAUGCAUGUGCAGUGCGGUGUUCUCUGAGUCUGUCUUUCAAAACUGGUAUUUUUAAAUUAAUACUUGAAAUCUAUUCUUUACAAUAUGAUCGUUUUGUAUCUUUAAGAUGUAACAAGAUUAAUUCACUUAAUUUAUUCCAAAAUAUGACAACACGCGCGUGUGCGUGCGUACAUCAUUUAUAUAUUAUAUGAAAUUCAUGAUUUGCAAAUAGUAUGGUGAAGCAAUAAAUAUUACAUGUAAUUAACGUUAGAUGGACUUACAGAAUAUUGUCAUAAUGUAAUGCAGACGAUACGAGAGACUCGUAAAUUUUUGUAAUCGAGUUUGAGUAUACUCUAUUUUAGCUUCUUGUAUUAUAUUCCUAUACAAAAAAAAUCACAAAUACGAAAAGGCAGUAUAUGAAUACGAUAAGAUAUCUAAUGAAUUUAAUAAUCACGUUUGGUAUCCUAUGUAUCGCAUAAACAUUUUUACAGACGGCGUGUUAAAAUUGUAUUUACUUGUAAAUUGACGAUAUCAAAAAGAAGAUUCAAAUCUAGGUAUUAUCAGAUAGAUAUUCUGUUUGAAAAUGACCGCAUUUAUGCUUGAUCUAUAUAAAUAGUCCGUAAAACUUAAUGCCUUACGAUAAUUAUAUCACGCAUUAGAAUAUAUCUACUUAACGUGUGCAUUAUUAUUUACUGUUGUAACGAUACGUUGACUUUAUUAUUGCGUCAGAUAGCUAUUGUUUAACAGUAUACACUUUACGUGUCCUUUAUCUAUAUGUCUAUUUUCACUAUCAAUGCCUUAUUUAAUUUAGGACGGAAGGAGACUUAAUUGUUUUAAGCUAGCUCAAUGUGGUACACAACACGUUUUAUUUCCAUACAUACUUACGUGCACGAACUGAAAGAAAUGCGUGACUUAAUUACGUUAUAUUCAUGUAAAUAUUAAAAAAAAA